CCUAUCCGCGGACCAGAAAAUUUGUGCAGGUUUAUAGUAAUGACCAAAUUAAAUUUUUCAAGGAUUUUGCCAAGGCGAUGAUAAAGAUGGGAGACUUGCAGUCUGGGCGGCCAGGAGAGAUCAGAAGAAACUGUAGAAUGGUUAACAGCCGGUCAGUCGACACACUCCUGGAAUCUUAAGUGGAAUAAAAAGUAGUUUACUAGUGGGUAGUGGCAUUAGAGAACUUAGAUGGAUAAGUUGACACAAUAAGAUUAGAGAUUUCCCAUGCUCUAAAUGCCUGAAAAAUGAUUGUAUGCGAGCCAUAGAUUAAUCAGUGAGGAGGCUGCUGUCACUUUUCUAUAUGAUUUGGAUAUAAGGUAAUCUCUAUUGCAUUAUAUUCUCGAAUGAUUCCAUUGUUUUCUUCCCACCAUUCAUCUUCAAGGUCUACCCCCCAAUUCAUGCCCCUAGAGUGUUUUCCUUUCUAGAAUAACAGUCCACUGAUACAGAAAAAAGUGUGAAAACAUAUAUUUUCAUGGAAACAGGACAGCCAUAUAAUGCAUGUAAGGGGUGUGUAGGUUGUGAGAUGUGAGGAUUGAGCCCAGAGGGGAGAAGAGGACAUUGGUCCUACUGACGAAGUAGGGCAAUGCACAACCCCUUAUAAUAUGAGUAUACAGGAUAGUUGCAUUGCAUAUGGUGGCAUGCUUUCAAAGGUGGGGUGGGGGGGAUCAUGGGGAGCAAGCUGGAUGCUGCACGAAUUUCUAAUGAUUCAAAGGGGAAAGCUGAUCGUCUCUUUUGACAUUUGAAAACGAGAGAGAGGGUACAACAAUGCUAAAUAAAUGAUGGUGGCCCAUGACAAGGAAAGCAUGCUUCAUCAUGGUCCACUGCCUCCCUCCAGACAAAGGCAGUAAUUUUCCGCUUUAAAAAGUACAAAAGGCAAAUGCUAAUUUUCAGGAUUUAUACCUCUUGCGACUGUUCUUCGUAGAAGCUCAUGAACCGACAGGCGGACCUAAUUGGUUCGGUUUUCGUUUGAUGUUUACAUCGGCCUGUGAUACACACUAUUCCGUCUCCAAUUUGAAAACAACGAAGGAUGAGAACCAAAUCCUAUUGAACUUAUCUCUUAUAUUUGUUAUUUAAGGGGCACCACUUGAUGGAAAGGGAAAGAACCUGAUGUUUUUAAAAAAUACUUUUAGUAUAAAAAAGUAUUUUAAAAAAAUAAUUUGGAACUCGAUUCACAGUAAUUUUAAAAAGUGUUUAUAAUAUUUUUAAUAAUUAAAAGUUUUUAUCAUUCAAGUGUUUGAAUUAUUAAAAACAUUUUUUAAAAUCAUUAUCAAACAUACUAUUAAAUAUUAACAAAAUUUAAAAAAUACUUCUAUAAAAUUAAAAAAUCACUCAUAAUACUUUUAAUUAAAACACUUUGAAUAGAAUACAACUAAAUACACCUACGAGUUUAUUUAAUAAUACUUUUAGAAAACAUAUCAAAUAUAACAAGAAUUUUUAAUGAAAAAUAGAAUGAUGAAAUUUAAAAAGUUAAAAAAUUACUAAUAACAUUUCAUGAAAAAAACUUGAUAAGUGUUUUUCUUUUAGAAAACACCUUUAAUGUAAGUAUUUUUGCAAGUAAAUACCUUCAAACACAAUCUCGAAAUUAAAUACCUUCAAACACAAUCUCAAUUAUAUUAGAAUUAUGCUCUUAAAGUUUUAAACUUAUUUCUCGUUUUUUCUUAUUUGUAAUUCUUAUCUUUCUCAUUUGUCAUUCUCAACUGUAAGACAAGACUAAAUUGGGAAAGUGCCCAAUCGGGGAGGGUGGGAAUUGGGUGAAUAAGAACUUUUUUGAAAACUAUUUAAAUUAACCAACAAUUGAUGUAAUAAAUGUAAAUAGAGAGGGAAAAAGCAUUGCAAAUUCAUUUUAUGAUAGUUCAGCUUGCUGAUGUCCACUUUCUUCAAUCUCCAUUUCAAGUGAGAGCUCUACUAACUAAUGCUUCAAACCAAACUUGCAACUUGUACAAUUAGAUUCAAUCGCUCCAAUGGGUUCUAAAAAUCCCUUCAAGCUCAAUACUAACUUAAAACUCUAAACAUUCAAUCUUUCACAAAUAGGAUAUGUUUAAUCACGCUCAACCUAACUCAAUAAUGACUCAAUAUGAUGAAAGUUGGGAUGAAAACAAAUAGGUGCACUAAAAGAUUUGCAAGUGAAGAAUUCAAUGCACUUGGGUUUGAGAGCUUUGAAAGAGAGAAAAUAGUAGAUAAACAAUUCAAUGCAAUUGUUCUCUUGUAAUUAAACCAACCUCAAACAUCUUUUUCUGCAUAAAUAAGUCUCAACCAGUCGAGCUUUGAUUCAACUGGUUGAGUAACCGUUGGAUAUUUAAUAAAUUGCAAUGAUCAUUGGUCUUUUCUAGGCUUUGAUUAACCCUUAAUUGACCUCGAUUGGUGCUCAACCGAGAAAGGCAAUGCUUCCAUCGAGAAUACAAAGGUCCUAGAAGAGAGAGAAAGCAUUUUGUUGCCUUAAUCAAUCCUCAAUCGAGAAAGACCAACCAAUUGAAUUGAUUUCCAACUAGUUGAAGUAGUUUUGGGAGGGCCUUGCUGCAAAAGCUUCCAUUUUUCGAUCUAAAGCUUUUUAUAACUUAUUUAUGAACCUUUGUAUGUCAAUUUGAAAUAGUUUUGCCUAAAGUUUUUGAAGAUUAACUCAAUUUUAAACAAUUUAUAAACGGUUAAGCUCAUUUUUAUGAAAACUAAGUAGGAAUGAAUACAUGAAAAAAAAAAAAAAAAAAAAACCUUUAAUUCUAAGUGUACUUAAAAGAUUCAUCUUACAAAUUUAUCCUAAACUUGAUUACUCUUCAAAUAUUGAAAUCUUCAAGCUUUUUCAACCUCUUUUAAGUAAACUUAAGCUUUCUUUUUGUUUUCACGUUAAAACUUAAAACUUUAUUUGAUUUAAAUUUAUUAAUCCACUUAAUCAUAUUUUAUUAUCAUCAAAACUUACUGAAGAGAACAUUUGGGCUAAGAUGAACUUUUACUCACUUAGCCAAUGGUUUCUCUAACUUAAAUUUUUUAAACAAUUUUUUUUUUUUAAAGAGGGAGGUGUUGGGAUGUCAUUUGUUUAUUUGGCCCUAGUGCCUAGGCUGAAGAGCCUGCGCGGCGCCCAGAGUGGCCUUCCCAGGAUUCGAACUUGGGUCCAAGCCUUAAGGACUUUUGGUUUCUCAAUCCAUAAAAUCUUGGUUUGAAUCUUGGUUUGCCUUAGUUUGGAUUAGCAUUUUUUGGCAACCAAUCAGAAGGUAAAUGAGUAGUGAAGCUCUAUGCAGUGUUUGACUAUGUCAUUUUAUUUAUUUUGUCGGGAGUACAAUGGCCUAAUGUUAAAGUCUUCACACGCACCCACUUGAUUUUCCUCAAGUGGUCCACUGAUUCAAUAAAACUACCCCGAAAAGGAUUGGUUAUACUCUAUCGUCCCAUGGAGAUAGGACUGAUUCUAUUCUUUAGAAUGUGUAUAUUUUGUUCAGUAAAAUUUUCUUUAGAAAACCGAUUGAUGCAGCUUACCCAAAUUCUAAUUUGCUUAUCGAGAAUUAAAAAAAAAACCCUGAUCUUUCCAGAGCCAUACAAAUAAAGCAACAAAGAGAAGGGGAAAUUUUUCUAAAAUUAAAAAGUUGGAUUUAACAUCGUCCUUUUCUCACUUUGAAAGAAGAAUAACUGCAACCAGGAUCAACAGUAAACUAUUUGAAAGGACAACUUGGGUAAGCAUCUAAUAAAACGCAUCGGUUCAAAUUGUUGGCGUAAUCUUUAAUCCCUUUGGAAAGUCAAAAGUGAUUAUGAAGAUGCUUUCAUUCUACAAGCACUAACGUGAACUACUUUGUCGUGUUUCGACGAUACUGGGUGAAUUCAUCCACAGCUACCGUUGCUCUUGAGAAUAGGUGCAAGGUCACCGACUAAAAUAGGGCGGAAGGCAAUCGCUUCUACCAGCCCCACUUUCGACUUAAAUGGAUUUUUAGUUUUUAUCAACAAGUAAUUAUAGAAACACUGAGGAAAAUUUGUUGAGUAUGUGUUUUUGCAUAAGGAGAUUCCUUUUUGCCAAUUUGCACUUUGCUUGAUGAAUGUAUCCCACCGGCAAACAUCAAAGCCAUUGUUCCAGAAAAAUUAGAAAUCACAGGUAGAGAUUGUGUAUAAGAUGAUGUUAUAUCUAGAUGUCAUCUGUUUGAUUUUACCUGCUAACGCGGGUGACAAAAUGUUAUUUCUAAAUAUAUAAAACUAUCAUUGAGUUUGAAGUUUUUGGCAUUCCCACAUCUAAUUGCCAAGAUCGUAAAACAAGGGUGCUAGAUCUAAUCAACUAAUGAACCAUAAUGAUUCAGGCCAACUAAAGAACCUUAUAGAACCUUAUAGAGAAGGAACCCGCCCACCAACCAACCAGCCAAUCACCCCCAUAUUCCGUGCCAUUGCUACCGACAAUCAAUUCGAUACCUACCGUCACUAUCUCCAGAGUCUUUUGUCUCCACGGUCCUUCCUUUUUGACGCAUAUCCAGCCAUUCCUGGAACUUGAACCCCUAAAAGCAACAAUUAUUUCCAAGAAAUUUUUCAAAACCUAUAAAUAUAAAGCUAGUAAUACUAUUUUCCCCAUUAUCUUUACCACAUGCUUACAUAGCAUAAUAAGUGAAGAUUAGAUACGUCAGAAAGUCAUUAGCAUAUGCAUUCAAUGUAAAGUAGGUGGUAAAAAAAAAAGGUAAAAUUGGUGAGAAGAAUAGCAUAACUAACAUUACCAAUCCAAAACCUAUAGUCAACACCUAGUAAAGAAGCAUUCCCAUAUGGUUGAACACUAAUGCCAAAUAUGAAUGCUACAAAUCCACAGGAAAAAGAUCUUAAAGUGAAUAGAGAGAAGUAAUUCCUACUUUGUUACCAAAAACGUAACCUAUGAUCAUUAACGCAUACAACAGGGGCAGAAUUGACAACUUCAACCCGCUAUAACUAGUUGUAAGUUACUUAGAUGUUGAACAAAGACAGAAGUCAUGAAAACUCAGGUCAGUUCCAAAUGAGAUAGAAAGGGAAAAAAAUCCAGCCAUAGAUCUCUAUUGAUAAUUUAAACUGAAGAUAUCAAGGGAAGAAACUAAUCCAUAUCCCAGUGUAGAAAAAGGCAGAAAACAAAAUCU
rnacentral:lncRNA from 1 species